CUACGGGUGGCAGCAGUGAGGAAUUUUGCGCAAUGGGGGAAACCCUGACGCAGCAACGCCGCGUGGGCGAAGAAGGCCUUCGGGUCGUAAAGCUCUGUCAAGUGGGAAAAAAAUCUUUUGAUCAAUAGUCAAAAGACUUGAUGGUACCACUGGAGGAAGCACCGGCUAACUCCGUGCCAGCAGCCGCGGUAAUACGGAGGGUGCAAGCGUUGUUCGGAUUUACUGGGCGUAAAGAGCGUGUAGGCGGUUUAGCAAGUCAGAUGUGAAAGCCCUGGGCUCAACCCGGGAAGUGCAUUUGAAACUGCUUCACUAGAGUAUGGGAGAGGAGAUUGGAAUUCCUGGUGUAGAGGUGAAAUUCGUAGAUAUCAGGAGGAACACCCGUGGCGAAGGCGAUUCUCUGGACCAAUACUGACGCUGAGACGCGAAAGCGUGGGGAGCAAACAGGAUUAGAUACCCGCGUAGUC
rnacentral:rRNA from 1 species